AUUCAGCUGACGAGUCCCAAAUAGGACUGAACGCACGUCCUGGAU
rfam:Schistosoma rodhaini strain Burundi genome assembly, scaffold: SROB_scaffold0000783